UUUCAUAUUCAGUCUCUGCCUUUCACGCUCAGGCUCUCUCAAUCUUCACACUGUUGGGUUGGCUGUUCUAGCUUUUGGGUUCUUUUAAGCAUCGUGGAAGGUGUUGUUUGGCUCAGUUUAUUGGAGAUUGGCUUGGCUUCUCUGCUGUUUUUUUUCUGUCCUGCGUGAGGACUAGCAGCUUGGCUGGCCUUUCUUCAGAUGUUUUCUUAGGCUUGUUAGGCUGUGAGCCUAGAAUUGUUUGGCUCUGGCUCCACUUUUAUUGUCAAUUGAGAAUCAUUGUGCAUUAAAUGACUGGAACAGUGGCAUCAUUAAUAACAUUUGCCCUCACAUUAGGUCUCUCUCCAACACUAGGAGAGCUGUUGUGGUUUGUUUGGGGAAUAACAUCAUGUUUAUUUAAGACUAGGAUUUACACUCUCAGCAUAUGAUUUCAUUGUGCCUCAGGUUGUGCUCUCCUUUUGGUCUGACUAGAAUUCAGAUUUUUCAUAUUCUUUUUUAGUUUGCAGGCAAGGCUUUUCCUUUUAGUUUGCCUGUCGCUAUCUAAGUGCAUGUGAUGGACUUUUGCUGGGUGGUGUUUUCAAAUUUUUCUUUCUGCUGUUUCUUAGGUGAUGACAUGUCAGUUCUUGAGAAUUAUUGUGGCAAGGAGUUUUUAUUUUUUUUGUUUCUCAUACUUUCAAGUAUGUGCAUUACUCUUUGGCCAUCGGUUGCUGCACCAUCAGUUUAAUCAUCUUUUUUUCUCCAUUGCCUCUUCUAUUAUCUCUGUUUAGUUAGUUUUCUGAAACAUUUUUUUGUGUUGCUUCAUUUGUUGCUGUUAAGGUUAGCUGAUUUUAAACAGGCCUUCUGCUUGGUUGUUUUGAACAUUCAUGUCACAGUGCAUUUGAUGCACAACCUCUGCAUUAACGUUUGUUCUUUCUGCAAGAUUUAGCUGGGGUGCAAUACCAUUUUAUGUUGGAAUUUGCAUCUAUUUAUUUUAUUGCUUGCAGGGUGCCUGACUUUAUUUUUUCCUUUCCUUGUGUUCCAUCAUGCUUUAAACUCUAUAUGUUGCUCUCUUGGCUUUGCUUUAUUGGUUUGUUCUUUUUCCUCCCUUCAUUGCAUUUUCACCAUAAUUUGUGCUGUGCAUCUAUUGUCAAGAGCUUUGUUGAGCUCUUCUGGACUUAUUUUCUGUUGGAUAGCUGCUUUGUUGAGAUUGCAACUUGCUUGCUUUACUCUGCUGCUGUGUGUAAGUCUUUAUGGGCUGGAAGGGUUAUUGUGUCUUUUUCUUGCUUUUGUUUUUCAUGUGUUUAUGGUGUAUUUUUUUCUUUCUUUUCGAUUGGCUUCAGGAAACUUAGCUUGUUCUGCUCUUGCUUUCUUGUACUCUUUAUUUUUCCCUAUACCUUUGAACCUUCUAGCAGUGGUGUUUGUCCUAUGUUUUCUUCCCUUUGUGCUUUAAAUUCUCAUCUCUAUUUCUAUGGCUGAUUCAUGUUGCAAUAUGUGUAUGUUCUUUUCAUAGCUGACCCUUUUGAUUCCAGUAAUUUGUUAGUGCAACAUGGAACAUGUUUCAAGUUUAAUGCAUUGCUUGGAAUAUUUGGCUAGUCAGGUUAAACAUGUUGUUAUAGCUUUUCUCACCAAGUCACUUUGUUUUUUAUCUGCUCAUUUAUUUGUUGACAGUGUGGAACAUAUUAACUGCUUUAUAGACUUUCAUUUGUUUUUUCCCCGUUAUGUUAACAGCAUGAAGCCCAUAAUCUGCCUGCUGAACUAGAGCUGCAUGUUGUUGAGGUUGCUCUUGAUGAUCUAGCAGCUUUAUCAUCCUCUAAAGUUGCCUUUCCAUUGGACCCAACAACUCCUAUACUCGUUGCACCAUCUAGAACUAAUGUUGAUUUCUCGCAGCAGUCACAAGUCUCCCCAAGGCAACCAUCUAUGGUUAUUCUUCUGCCAUCACAAACAAAAAGACAACAGUUGUUUGAAGAUGAAACUCCUCUCCAAAGCUGGUGCAGCUGAUCCUCUAAGCGGAUUUACAUCAUUAGACUGUGGUACAUCAACCAUCUCCGAGGCAAAUGAUCCACCAAGCAAACGCCAACGCCCUUCUAAACUUGACCGUGAUUAGGAUGCUUCCACAGAACAAGAUCGAAACUCAUCUGAAGAAGUCUCUCAUGCAUACAACGAACUUGAAAAUGAAUAUCAGAAAUUUCUAUCAGAAUGUGGAGGGAGUAACUCGGGAUACUGGCGGAGAGGUUCUGCUGACUAAAUCAUUACAGUUCUGUUCAUCCUUCUUGGUAUACAAUUUUCCGGUAAUCUGCAUUUUGCAGUGAUUGAAUCCUUUGAACAGUUCUGUAAAGAUUUUGC